GACGAACGCUGGCGGCGUGCUUAACACAUGCAAGUCGAACGGAAAGGCCCUGCUUUUGUGGGGUGCUCGAGUGGCGAACGGGUGAGUAACACGUGAGUAACCUGCCCUUGACUUUGGGAUAACUUCAGGAAACUGGGGCUAAUACCGCAUAGGAGCUCCUGCUGCAUGGUGGGGGUUGGAAAGUUUCGGCGGUUGGGGAUGGACUCGCGGCUUAUCAGCUUGUUGGUGGGGUAGUGGCUUACCAAGGCUUUGACGGGUAGCCGGCCUGAGAGGGUGACCGGCCACAGUGGGACUGAGAUACGGCCCAGACUCCUACGGGAGGCAGCAGUGGGGAAUAGUGCACAAUGGGCGGAAGCCUGAUGCAGCAACGCCGCGUGCGGGAUGACGGCCUUCGGGUUGUAAACCGCUUUCGCCUGUGACGAAGCGUGAGUGACGGUAAUGGGUAAAGAAGCACCGGCUAACUACGUG
rnacentral:rRNA from 1 species